rnacentral:tRNA from 1 species
AAAGUUAGUUAAAUAAUAAUAUAGGAUUGUCAUUCCUAUGUUACUAAUUAGAUUUAGUACUUUUUGU